CACGUAGGGCGCAAGCGUUGUCCGGAAUUAUUGGGCGUAAAGAGCUCGUAGGCGGUCUGUUGCGUCUGCUGUGAAAAUCCGGGGCUCAACCCCGGACUUGCAGUGGGUACGGGCAGACUAGAGUGAUGUAGGGGAGACUGGAAUUCCUGGUGUAGCGGUGAAAUGCGCAGAUAUCAGGAGGAACACCGAUGGCGAAGGCAGGUCUCUGGGCAUUAACUGACGCUGAGGAGCGAAAGCAUGGGGAGCGAACAGG
rnacentral:rRNA from 1 species